AUUAUGCAAAUAUAUUCAUUUGUAGAAACCCGAAUGUUCUUAAGGAAAUCAUCUGACUAAAUUAGGAAAAAUUGGUUUUGAUCAAUGAGCAGAGUUAGACCAAACUCCUAAAAAUAACCUGCACUGCCUCCCCACUCACGGCUCCCUCUUCCUAGCCGGAGGGUCAGCUGAGGACCACAGGAUGGGAGGGGCGUGGAGGUAGGAGCAGGCCGGAGCCUCCCCCAAGCUGCCUCUAGAGACUCCGCUGCCAACGGAGGAACCAGAAUGUGGCUUCCUGAUUUUGUCCCAAAGUCAGUCCUUUCCAAGCAAGGCUUGUGUUUCACAGGGAAACUCUGGCCUGCAGAACACCAUUUCCUCCCCACCACAAGGGUAUCACAAGCCAGGCACACAGACUGGACACAGCGCACUUUUUAUUCAGUUGUUUUAUACAAGAAGAAACCAAGACUGGAAGAGGGGGUGCGAGUGGCUCAGGGUUACCCAGAUAUGGAUACCCUGGAAAGGUGCCCCCAACUCCUCAGGGUCACAUCACGGAAGGAGAGACCCACUUAUGAGAGGGGCUCUGGAGUGACCUGGGGUGAGCACUGAGUUCUGAGGACCAAGUUUCACUGCUCUGCUGCUCUUCUACACCUACCCACAGCCUGGCACCAGCUCCCCCACCUCUGCCCCAUGCAAGCUCCAGUCCCUUAAGCAGAUGGAGGGAUGAAGUCUAUAGUGUGCGCAGGAGGCAGCUUUAGCAGCCCUGCGGCUCAGAGGAGGCCACCGAAGCUGCCGCAGUCACCUUGGGACCAUGAGGGAGGCAGAGAGAGGCUGUCAGAGUCCUUGAGUCCCUGAGGAGUCCCAGGAUGGCAGGAAUAACCAACACUGGACUUGCCCUCACUCUAGACUUCUAUUACAGAGCAUUAAACAAUCCAUC